rnacentral:pre_miRNA from 9 species
ACGUUAAAGCGUAAAAGCUAACUCAAAUUUGUAUGGAGUUGGAAAGUUUACCUACGUUUGCCGCUAGGGGCGCUGUUCCAAUUGCAUACACAAAUUUGAGUUAACUUUUACGCUAUCGA